rnacentral:rRNA from 1 species
ACAGUGGCGCACGGGUGCGUAACACGUAGAUAAUCUGCCCUUCGGCGGGGGACAACGUUCCGAAAGGAGCGCUAAUACCGCGUACAGCUCGAGUGGUUUGCCACUUGAAGACAAAGGUAGGGACCGGCAACGGCCUACCGCCGGAGGAGGGGUCUGCGGCCCAUCAGCUAGUUGGUGAGGUAAUGGCUCACCAAGGCAAAGACGGGUAGCUGGUCUGAGAGGAUGAUCAGCCACACUGGUACUGGAACACGGACCAGACUCCUACGGGAGGCAGCAGUGGGGAAUCUUGGUCAAUGGGCGCAAGCCUGAACCAGCGAUGCCGCGUGAGUGAUGAAGGCCUUCGGGUUGUAAAGCUCUGUGGGGAGGGACGAAAGAAUCGGUUCUAACAGGACCGAAGUUGACGGUACCUCCUUAGCAAGCACCGGCUAACUCUGUGCCAGCAGCCGCGGUAA